CUUAACUUUCUUGGCGCUCCUAAACGCACACAAGCUACCUUUCCUCCAGACACGAACGCCGGUCCUUUGACAAUCAAUAACAUUAAUUCAUUCCAACUGUUUUAUCCUUGUGUUACCUAGCUUCGUUUUGCAAUCAAUAAAGUUUAGCGGCGCCAGUUGUCAAAAAAGUUGGUCAGAUAGAUACAUCUACCUUGUCGUUGGGACUUGUUUUUCAUUUUGAGCUAGCUUUUUAGAGUAUGCAUCAUGUACAGCUCCAAAGAUAAACUCCACCAUCGUUGGCACGCCCUUCUGUUAGCAAUCGCCUGCGUGGCUUCUUUUGCAGUGUUUUGUCAAGCACAAGAAUCGUCCCAGUCAUUCUCUAUAAGUUUCAGCUCAGGCGAGCUACUACUGCCUUGCGUGUACCGGGGAAUACCCUACCUUCACGGUGAUAGCUGGAAAGUGGAUGAAUGCACCACUUGUGACUGCGACAAUGCCACUGUAACAUGUGUCAUUGAGAGUUGUCCGCCGGCCUUCUGCGCCGAACCUGUAAAACCGGAUGGAGAAUGUUGCUUCCUAUGCCCUUACAAUGUCAAGGCGAAGAAGGUUCUACCAGAGAUUACCAGUACCAACACCAUAGCAGAGGGUGGGGACAACAGUGUCUCUCUCAAUGUGCCCAUCAAGUUCCAAGAAGCCAUGGAUACAACGGGUGUGAGCGGUGAGGACUUGUGGAUUCUCAGUGCAUGGGCAUCAUCAACACCUGACGGCAGAGGGACAAAAUAUGGCUUCGACAGAAACGUUCUGGACGACAAUCAGAUGGAUCAGUAUUACAAAAAGAAGGAGAAAUUUAAUUUCGCGCCCAUCAAUUUUGAAUUCAGUGACCCUAUGGCUGAAUGCGAGGACAUGAAGUACAUAUGUGUUCGCAUCGACCGAGGAGAUAAUCCCGUUGCCAAAGCAAACCUGGACUUUCAAUUCUCAGGUUAUCCGGAUGAAAGUGUUCUCACGGGCUGUACUGCGUCUCCAGAAUGCAUAGGCAUCGUUGCCCAGGAGAUGGACUGGACUAUAGAACCCGUUGAGACGGUCAUCCCCGGUGAACAGACGACAGUCAGCCUCGAUAACUAUAUUACCUUCCGAGAGAACAACCCCCUACUCUCAGGAGAUGGUCUUUGGCGCAUGGGGCUCUUCGGCAGCCGGAACGAACAAGGCACCGGGGACCGCUUCAGCUACGUGUCUCAGACAUUGAACCGACCGCAGCAAGGGACUACGCUGAAUCCCGACGCACCGCUUGAAUUCCAGGCCGUAGAGACCGACUUUGAAAUGGGCUCCAUCGGUUGCAAUGAAUACGGUUAUAUUUGCGUUGAAUUUACGGGAGCUGAAAACCCGAUACCCAACUUCUUCUUCAGAGUAGAAGAUGCAGUUGAUGCGUCCAAAGAGGCUAACACCUUAACCAGUUGCCGUGAGCAAGAGUGCCUUUCAAAUGUAUGGGCCGAGUCUCUGGAUUGGGACUUAACACCAACGGACAGAGUCUUACCCGGUCAAGAAACCGGCGUAAGUAUUGAUAGCACUGUCAUCUUUGAGGAUGACAACCGCGAAGUCGCUGGCACUGGCCUCUGGAAGAAAGGGCUGUUCGGAAGCAGAAACCCCGAUGGCAGUGGAGAAAGAUUCAACUAUCGAGAGCAAAUCCUUGAUAGGCCUCAGCAAGGCAUCACCUUGGAAAGGGACAGUGGCAUGUUAGACGUCCCCGAGGCAACAACCACAUUUGAAAUUGGCACCGUCGGAUGUAAUGACUUUGGCUAUGUUUGCGUAGAGUUUACCGGAGGUGACGAUCCAGACCCACUGUACUAUUUCAGAGUAGUGGGAUCCGCCAAUGCCUAUCCCGAGGAAAACACCCUCGUGACGUGCAAGGAACAGGAAUGUUUAGCCAGGGCCAUAUUUACAGACCUCGACGUUGAUCUUGGUGACCAAGAGCUCGUCGAGAACAAGAACAAUUUUCUCAACGUUGACUUGAGCGGAAUCACAGCAGAUGACUCCACCAAUGUCAUAGGUGACGAAUUGUGGAAGGUUUCCGCAUACGCCAGCCAAAAUCCCGAAGGCAGUGGAACCAAGGUCGGAUUAGUUGAUCAGAUCCUUGAUCCGUUUACAGCCGCUAACGAUCUCAACGAGGGAGAGAAUCUCCCAAUGGAGGAUGUCGAUUUCGACUUUGACAUGACGGGGCUGAGGUGCGAGGAUGUGCCAUACCUCUGCUUCGAUCUUGAUAAAAAUCCAGACGCCUCUGUUAACUUCUACUACGAGUCCCGUCCAAAUGAAGCUGCUACGACAACUUGCGUCGAUUUCCGCGACCGUUGCAAAGGUGCCACUGCCAUCGAUGUUGAAUGGGAUUUUGAUAUUGGGGAUGCACCGUUCGAAGAUCCGGCCCCUCUGACCAUCGACGCAGACGUACUGUUUGAACCCGACAGUCCCAAUGUUGACGGAGACGGUUUGUGGCAGUUAGGUGUCUUCGCCGCAAAGAAUCCUGAGGGUUCCGGACCCCGUAAAGAUGAAUUGACCCAGAUACUUGAUCCUUUAGACGAGUCAACACCUCUUGAUGAAGGUGGACCUCUCAACUUGGACGAUGUCGAAUUUCCAUUUCCAAUCAACGAGGUUGGAUGUGGUGAAUAUAACUUCCUUUGCGUCGAAUUCAAGAAAGGAGAGGCGCCCUCACCCGAAUUCAAGUUCGAGACUCAGGGAGAAGGAGAUACGAUUAUAUCAUGCAAGGAACAGCCAUGUAGAGGUGCACUUCUACUUUUGUUAAAUUCUAUUCUACUCAAUCUUUUUUUGCUCUGAUAGGGAGCAUAACCUACCACCAGCAAUAUUUUUUAGUUUGUACCCUCAAAAUAAUGGCAAUGAGGUUUCAUGGUGAAUGAGAGUAAUUCAAUUCUUAUUCACGGCCCCAAGAAUUCCCUUCACUAACCUUUGAUACAGAUUAGGUCUUGGUAACGCUGCGUGUCACGUACAUCAAAGGUAGUCUAGAUCACAAGUGUAAGGAACCAAGAAACCCGCUUCUCAUCACGGCCGAGUAGGGGAUACAGGCCCAAGGUCUAGAUCAGGGAAAGCAUAAGUCUACGUUGGAGAAGAAGGUCUACGAUGUCAUCAGUGAACUGCUCAGGUAAGAAACAACUAAUAAAUCCUAUUUUUUUUAAAUAAACCAAGCCACAGGCGAUUCAACAGUAAUAAUCGAUACAAAAUUAGGUUAGGUACACGGUGACCAUGCAGAGGAGAGGAUUCCGAAGUACCUUGGCAAAGAUCCUACCAAGUACACUGCAGUCGAUCUAUGAAGUAGCAAGUUAUCACCAACAAGGAUCAUGGAAGUUCUAGUUCCUGACCAAAGCCCUCACCAGACCUCUUUGUCGGGUAUCAUCAAGUAAGUGGAAGAAGAAAAUAGUUGAUCAAAGAAUUAACCGGGAUAUUUGGGUGAACCGAUUUGCUAAAAUUCUCGUUACAGCUUUAGGUUAGGUCACGUAAGGGUGCAGAAAAGCAGUGAAGACCACCAUCUUAAGAGAGUCGGUUGAACUCUGAAGGAAGGAUGGAACCAUGCAGACACCCCAUAUAUCCCUACGUCGGAUAGCGUGCAUUGUACAAGGAGGUAAGUGGAGAAAAUCGAUUCAAAGAUCAGCCAAAUUCUUAUAUCAGCGGUGAUAUUUAUCUGAAUCAUGCUAACAUUUACCCUUACAGCUCUAGGUUAGGUAACGGAAGGGUCAAGACUAAAGGCCGUGAAGUCCACCACCGUCUUAAAAGUAGGACGAACUGUAAAGAACAAGUGAAAAACACACCGUUAUCAUCCUACUUGAUUGUGGUCUUGGAUGGAAUAAAUGGUAAGGAAUAUAACACUAUAAAAACAGAAAGUAUGACGUCAUGAAGCUAUUUUCUCCAAUGAUGACAUUACAAUUCCAGCUUUAGGUUAGGUUUGUCAUUUGAUGGAAUGCAGUGGAAUGCUGUUCCGAUGCACAGGUGUUCGUCACUCCGGAUCGAGCUGAUGGGGUUCUCAACGUGGAUGAUGCACCCUGAUAGAUACCAAGAACUUUCCAGAGGCCUAACCAAGAGAGAAGAGCAGAAUGUUAGACCAAGCGGUUUUACGAGGUGAAGAACGGGCAAGAUUUCCAAAGACUUAUACGAGCAAGAUGGGGGAAAGGCAAGAAGUCCAGAUGCUUCGACGAGAUGACAACCAUGCUAGACUUCCAGAGCUUCGACGAGCGAGAUUGAGAAGAGACGACUUCGAUGGGCUUGAUGUGGGUGAAAUUUGGAUUGAAGAACAUGAACAUGGAAACUGGAGGGCGCUCUUUACACUUGCUACAUGCACACACUUGAACUGAUGAAGCAAAGUCAAGGAAAAGUCAGAAACAUCGGAUUCAUGGAGUGGAUGAUCCUGAGCAUCGGCUCAUUUAAGGGUAUCGAUGGCGCUAGCCACAACAUGGAGGACAAGGAGUACAUCAAGUUAUUCGCUGUAUUGCUCUCAGCGGAGAACACCAAGGGGAUAGCUGAGCUGACUUAAAAUAAAUUCAAUUUGUUUUCUGAAGAGCGCCAGAUACGAUUGCUAAAUUACCCGUUUUUAUUUAUUCGUCAAUCGAAUUAUUUAUUUAUGUAUUUAUUUAUUCAUUUAUUGCAACAGCAAGAAAUAGCUACUACACUACUUCUUUAGAUCACAGAGAUCAUCCUGUGAUUCUAAUACUAUAUACUAUAGGAUCUCUUCAUAUAAGAUGUAUAGCGCCAUCUGAGGCAACAUAUCCGACUCUUAUGAUUUCUAGUGAUUUAAAAUCUGUUUAUGGACGAUACGCAUCUGUAAUUUUAUUUGCGUUAACCACGUCCUUCCCGUUUCUACGGUAAUUAAUAAUUUGUGAAUAUUUGUUAUAGAAUGUACUAUACUGUUUUAUUACAAUAAAUACCUCCCGUAAUUCAACUAAAUUUCUAUCUGUUUUUGUAAUCUUACUGACAAAUUCCAGUUGCAGAACGGUGUCAUUUGAAGCAAGAUACUCCAUGUGCUUUUUUCACAUAGCUUCUUUCAUUGCUCGACCUUUAACAGCAUUCAAAAUAUGAUAUAUUACUGUACUCCACGGCACACAAUUUUCUUAAAUGUUCAUUAUACGGUCUGUAUAAUUUGUAUUAUGUAACAUUUCCAUUAACACGAUCUCAAAGACUUUCAAGAAAUCAAACCUAAACCACAUUCAUAAGGCCGGCCGGUGCGUCACCUUUUAACCCUUUGGCUACGGGAGCUGGGUGGUCACUGUGUUAACUCUAUGGGAAUGAGUGAAUUCAGUAGUCAACGGGUUAAAAUGUGCGAACAUGACAAUGACAGUAUUACAUAAUUAGACCAUGGUUUGUAUAGACGAUAUAAUCAGACAUUAAAAUUGUGACUUAGUUGAUUAAUUGAAAGUUUUUGCGAUCGGGUGUUAUUCAAUAUUUUUGUUCGUUAUGAAAUAUUCGCUCUUGAUGUGUAUUCAACUAUAGUGUAUUACUUGCAAGUUAAUAUUGAUACGGGAUAUAGAUAGAUCUAAACUAAUCAGGUCUGUUUACGACGCUACUCAAUAAGAAGCAGAAAAGAGCCAAGCAAUUGUUUUGUCAUGCUGAAUAAAAGACAUUGUAUAUUUACAUAGUUCCUGCUCUUUAUAAAUUCACAUUGUUAUCAAAAUGCCUGAAACUUGCUUUUUCAAUGGGUUCAAGGUAAAUGGAUUUUUGAUGGCCUAUAUUUCUGUUGUAAAGAAGAGAUAAAUGUUUCUUCCAUGUUAUCUAUUGCUGUACUUUAAUCAAUGUUGAAAUUGCGUAUAUUCCACCAAUGAUAUCACUAUUAUUAUAAAAAAUGUGAUUUACAUGAAAUAUUACUGAUACUUGAAGAGGAGAUAAAGGUUUGAACCAUUUGUUAACCAAUUGCACAAAUUCUCUAAGCUAUCGCCUGGCCAUUUUGAAUGUGUGGUAUUAGGCGAACAUGUUAACGAAUGUAAAGAAAAUUAUCAGGAAAAUAUAUUUUACAUCAGAAGAGGUGUGAAAGGGGCGCAGGCGAUGGAACAUUUAUACAUACACAAUGAUCGGCUAAAAUGUAAAUGAAUA